rnacentral:rRNA from 1 species
GACGAACGCUGGCGGCGUGCUUAACACAUGCAAGUCGAACGGAAAGGUGCUGCUCUUGCUGUUUGGUCGAGUGGCGAAGGGGUGAGUAACACGCGAGUAACUUGCACGUGACUUACGGAUAACUCCAGGAAACAUGGGCUCUUACCGGAUAGGAUCUCCUGCUGCGUGGUGGGGGUUGGAAAGUGUCGGCGGUUGGGGAUGGACUCGCGGCUUAUCAGCUUGUUGGUGGGGUAGUUGCUUACCAAGGCUUUGACGGGUAGCCGGCCUGAGAGGGUGAACGGCCGCAUUGGGACUGAGAUACGGCCCAGACUCCUACGGGAUGCAGCAGUGGCGAAUGUUGCACGAAGGGCGGACGCGUGAUGCAGCGACGCCGCGUGCGGGAUAACCGCCUUCGGGUUGUAAACCGCUUUCGCCUGUGACGUGGCGUGAGUGACGGUAAUGGGUAAAGAAGCACCGGCUAACUACGUG